GCACCCGUACCCCAACGGCAGAGGGUGGGGCCUUAAAAGCCCUGAGCAGUGCGGGUUCGAAUCCCGCCGGGUGCA
rnacentral:tRNA from 1 species